CCCAGACUCCUACGGGAGGCAGCAGUGGGGAAUAUUGCACAAUGGGGGGAACCCUGAUGCAGCGACGCCGCGUGGGUGAAGGAGUACUUCGGUACGUAAAGCCCUAUCAGCAGGAAAGAAAAUGACGGUACCUGACUAAGAAGCCCCGGCUAACUACGUGCCAGCAGCCGCGGUAAUACGUAGGGGGCAAGCGUUAUCCGGAUUUACUGGGUGUAAAGGGAGCGUAGACGGCAGUGCAAGUCCGGAGUGAAAGCCCGGGGCUCAACCCUGGGACUGCUCUGGAAACUGUAAAGCUGGAGUGCGGGAGGGGCAGGCGGAAUUCCUGGUGUAGCGGUGAAAUGCGUAGAUAUCAGGAGGAACACCGGCGGCGAAGGCGGCCUGCUGGACCGUAACUGACGUUGAGGCUCGAAAGCGUGGGGAGCAAACAGGAUUAGAUACCCGCGUAGG
rnacentral:rRNA from 1 species